UACGUAGGGGGCAAGCGUUGUCCGGAAUCAUUGGGCGUAAAGAGCGUGUAGGCGGCCUGAUAAGUCGGCUGUGAAAGUCAAGGGCUCAACCCUUGAAUGCCGGCCGAUACUGUCAGGCUAGAGUCCGGAAGAGGCGAGUGGAAUUCCUGGUGUAGCGGUGAAGUGCGUAGAUAUCAAGAGGAACACCUGCGGCGAAGGCGGGUUGCUGGGCCGACACUGACGCUGAGGCGCGAAAGCCAGGGGAGCGAACGGG
rnacentral:rRNA from 1 species